UACGGAGGGUGCAAGCAUUGAUCGGAAUUACUGGGCGUAAAGGGCGCGUAGGCGGCUUGAAAAGUCAGAUGUGAAAUUCCGGGGCUCAACCCCGGAGCUGCAUUUGAAACUCUCGAGCUAGAGUACAGUUAGGGUCAACGGAAUUCCACGUGUAGCGGUGAAAUGCGUAGAUAUGUGGAAGAACACCGGUGGUGAAGACGGUUGACUGGGCUGAAACUGACGCUGAGGCGCGAAAGCUAGGGGAGCAAACAGG
rnacentral:rRNA from 1 species